AACGUAGGGGGCGAGCGUUAUCCGGAAUCACUGGGCGUAAAGGGCGUCUAGGUGGCCCGUCAAGUCUUGCGUGAAAUCUCCUGGCUCAACUAGGAGAGUGCGUGGGAAACUAGCGAGCUAGAGACGUGGAGGGGUGCACGGAAUUCCCGGUGGAGUGGUGGAAUGCGUUGAGAUCGGGAGGAACACCAGAAGCGAAGGCGGUGCACUGGCCACGGACUGACGCUGAAGCGCGACAGCGUGGGGAGCGAACGGG
rnacentral:rRNA from 1 species